AUAAAUGCUAUUGGUAUGCUUAACACAUGCAAGUUAAAUGUUUUGAAACAUAGCGAACGGGUGAGUAACACGUGAAUUAUCUACCUUUUAAUUCAGAAUAAUUAUUUGUAAUAAAAAUACUGAAUAAAUAAAUUAAAGUUUUUAACGUUAAAAGAUGAGUUUGCGCAAGAUUAAUGGUAGUUGGUUGUUUAAUAGACUACCAAGCCUAUUAUCUUUAGCUGAUUUGAAAGAAUGAUCAGCCACAUUGGGACUGAGACACGGCCCAAACUUUUUUAAAGGCAGCAGUGGGGAAUUUUGGACAAUGAGCGCAAGCUUGAUCCAGCAAUACCGAGUGAGUGAUGACGGCUAAUUAGGUUGUAAAGCUCUUUCAUUAAGGAGGAAAAUGACAGUACUUAAAAAAGAAGUUCCGGCUAAUACCCGU
rnacentral:rRNA from 1 species